UAAAAAAAGGUAAGCUACUAAGAGCGAAUGGUGGAUGCCUUGACUGGUAAAGGCGAUGAAGGACGUACUAGACUGCGAUAAGCUACGGGGAGCUGUCAAGAAGCUUUGAUCCGUAGAUUUCCGAAUGGGGCAACCCAAUGUAUAGAGAUAUACAUUACCUAUAUAGGAGCGAACGAGGGGAAUUGAAACAUCUUAGUACCCUCAGGAAAAGAAAUCAAUAGAGAUUGCGUCAGUAGCGGCGAGCGAAAGCGCAAGAGGGCAAACCCAGUGCUUGCACUGGGGGUUGUAGGACUGCAAUAUGCAAGAGGUAAGUUUAGCAGAACAUUCUGGAAAGUAUAACCAUAGAGGGUGAUAGUCCCGUAUGCGAAAAACAAACCUUAGCUAGCAGUAUCCUGAGUAGGGCGGGACACGAGGAAUCCUGUCUGAAUCCGGGUCGACCACGAUCCAACCCUAAAUACUAAUACCAGAUCGAUAGUGCACAAGUACCGUGAGGGAAAGGUGAAAAGAACUGAGGUGAUCAGAGUGAAAUAGAACCUGAAACCAUUUGCUUACAAUCAUUCAGAGCCCUAUGUAGCAAUACAGGGUGAUGGACUGCCUUUUGCAUAAUGAGCCUGCGAGUUGUGGUGUCUGGCAAGGUUAAGCAAACGCGAAGCCGUAGCGAAAGCGAGUCUGAAUAGGGCGCUUAGUCAGAUGCUGCAGACCCGAAACGAAGUGAUCUAUCCAUGAGCAAGUUGAAGCUAGUGUAAGAACUAGUGGAGGACUGAACCCAUAGGCGUUGAAAAGCCCCGGGAUGACUUGUGGAUAGGGGUGAAAGGCCAAUCAAACUUCGUGAUAGCUGGUUCUCUCCGAAAUAUAUUUAGGUAUAGCGUUGUGUCGUAAUAUAAGGGGGUAGAGCACUGAAUGGGCUAGGGCAUACACCAAUGUACCAAACCCUAUCAAACUCCGAAUACCUUAUAUGUAAUCACAGCAGUCAGGCGGCGAGUGAUAAAAUCCGUCGUCAAGAGGGAAACAACCCAGACUACCAGCUAAGGUCCCUAAGUCUUACUUAAGUGGAAAACGAUGUGAAGUUACUUAAACAACCAGGAGGUUGGCUUAGAAGCAGCCAUCCUUUAAAGAAAGCGUAAUAGCUCACUGGUCUAGUGAUUUUGCGCGGAAAAUAUAACGGGGCUAAAGUAAGUACCGAAGCUGUAGACUU
rnacentral:rRNA from 1 species